UGGGUUUAAGUGUCCGCAGCCGGACGGGUAAGCGGUUCGUCAAAGCCCCACCGCUCAACGGGUGGAAGGCGUACCGAACUGCCCGUCUUGAGGCACGCUCAGGCAGGCGGAAUUCCCGGUGUAGCGGUGAAAUGCGUAGAUAUCGGGAGAACACCGAAGGCGAAGGCAGCCUGCUGGGGCUGUCCUGACGGUCAGGGACGAAAGCU
rnacentral:rRNA from 1 species